rnacentral:rRNA from 1 species
GACGAACGCUGGCGGCGUGCUUAACACAUGCAAGUCGAACGGAAAGGCCCUGCUUUUGUGGGGUGCUCGAGUGGCGAACGGGUGAGUAACACGUGAGUAACCUGCCCUUGACUUUGGGAUAACUUCAGGAAACUGGGGCUAAUACCGGAUAGGAGCUCCUGCUGCAUGGUGGGGGUUGGAAAGUUUCGGCGGUUGGGGAUGGACUCGCGGCUUAUCAGCUUGUUGGUGGGGUAGUGGCUUACCAAGGCUUUGACGGGUAGCCGGCCUGAGAGGGUGACCGGCCACAUUGGGACUGAGAUACGGCCCAGACUCCUACGGGAGGCAGCAGUGGGGAAUAUUGCACAAUGGGCGGAAGCCUGAUGCAGCAACGCCGCGUGCGGGAUGACGGCCUUCGGGUUGUAAACCGCUUUCGCCUGUGACGAAGCGUGAGUGACGGUAAUGGGUAAAGAAGCACCGGCUAACUACGUGCCAGCAGCCGCGGUGAUACGUAGGGUGCGAGCGUUGUCCGGAUUUAUUGGGCGUAAAGGGCUCGUAGGUGGUUGAUCGCGUCGGAAGUGUAAUCUUGGGGCUUAACCCUGAGCGUGCUUUCGAUACGGGUUGACUUGAGGAAGGUAGGGGAGAAUGGAAUUCCUGGUGGAGCGGUGGAAUGCGCAGAUAUCAGGAGGAACACCAGUGGCGAAGGCGGUUCUCUGGGCCUUUCCUGACGCUGAGGAGCGAAAGCGUGGGGAGCGAACAGGCUUAGAUACCCUGGUAGUCCACGCUGUAAACGGCGGGUACUAGGUGUGGGGUCCAUUCCACGGGUUCCGUGCCGUAGCUAACGCUUUAAGUACCCCGCCUGGGGAGUACGGCCGCAAGGCUAAAACUCAAAGGAAUUGACGGGGCCCCGCACAAGCGGCGGAGCAUGCGGAUUAAUUCGAUGCAACGCGUAGAACCUUACCUGGGUUUGACAUGGAUCGGGAGUGCUCAGAGAUGGGUGUGCCUCUUUUGGGGUCGGUUCACAGGUGGUGCAUGGCUGUCGUCAGCUCGUGUCGUGAGAUGUUGGGUUAAGUCCCGCAACGAGCGCAACCCUUGUUCACUGUUGCCAGCACGUUAUGGUGGGGACUCAGUGGAGACCGCCGGGGUCAACUCGGAGGAAGGUGGGGAUGACGUCAAGUCAUCAUGCCCCUUAUGUCCAGGGCUUCACGCAUGCUACAAUGGCUGGUACAGAGAGUGGCGAGCCUGUGAGGGUGAGCGAAUCUCGGAAAGUCGGUCUCAGUUCGGAUUGGGGUCUGCAACUCGACCUCAUGAAGUCGGAGUCGCUAGUAAUCGCAGAUCAGCAACGCUGCGGUGAAUACGUUCCCGGGGCU